GAAAAAGCUGACGACUGAAGCCCCGGUGAACGGCGGCUGUAACUCUGACAGUCCUAAGGUAGCGAAAUUCCUUGUCGAGUAAGUUUCGACCCGCACGAAAGACGUAACGAUCUGGGCACUGUCUCGGAGAGAGACUCGGUGAAAUAGAAAUGUCUGUGAAGAUGCGGACUACUUAUACCAGGACAGAAAGACCCUAUGAAGCUUGACUGUAAUUUGGAAUUGGGUUCGGGCUUUUUUUGCGCAGUCUAGGUGGGAGGCGUUGAUAUUAAGUUUUCGGACUUAAUGAAGCCAUCAGUGAGAGACCACUCUAAAAGAGCUAGAAUUCUAAUAGGACUCCUUGAAUCAGGAUCCUUGACAGUUUCAGAUGGACAGUUUGACUGGGGCGGUGACCUCCCAAAAGGUAACGGAGGUGUGCAAAGGUUCCCUCAAGCUGGACGGAAAUCAGCUGUAGAGUGCAAAGGUAUAAGGGAGCUUGACUGCAAGACCAACAAGUCGAGCAGAGGCGAAAGCCGGCCUUAGUGAUCCGACGGUUCCGAGUGGAAGGGCCGUCGCUCAACGGAUAAAAGUUACUCUAGGGAUAACAGGCUGAUCUCCCCCAAGAGUUCACAUCGACGGGGAGGUUUGGCACCUCGAUGUCGUUUCAUCGCAACCUGGGGCUGGAGUAGGUCCCAAGGGUUGGGCUGUUCGCCCAUAAAAGCGGUACGUGAGAUGGGUUCAGAACGUCGCGAGACAGUUCGGUCCAUAUCCGGUAUAAGCGUAAGAGCAUUGAGAGGAUCUCAACAUUGUACGAGAGGACCCGAAGGGACGUACCGAUGGUGUACCAGUUCUUAUGCCAAUAGGAAACGCUGGGUAGCUAUGUACGGAGUGGAUAAUCGCUGAAAGCAUUUAAGUGAGAAGCCCACCUCAAGAUGAAUGCUCUCUAUUAGAUCGCGGCAAGACAAGCCGAUAGAUUGGCAUCAAGUGUAAGAUUAGUAAUAAUUUCAGCUGAGAUGUACAAAGGAUCGAUUGAUUUUGAC
rnacentral:rRNA from 1 species